UACUGAAACUAAAGCCUCUCUGGCCAGCAAAAAUAGCUUAUGGUAGUCUCACUGCUGCUAGUUGACCACCUAAGGCAACAUACAGAGACGCAUAGAAUCCAAAUUUUACAACAUUCCCCCCUUCGGGACUAUAUAAUUGUCCCGAAAACGGUCCAACAAGAGAUGACAUCGGUAAACAUCCAAAAAUCUUCCCCCAACCAAAUUUUAUGGUCAUGUCUACAAUUUGGCCUAUACCUGCACAGCCUAAAUCACGCUCGAGGCAUGCUACUUAAGGUUAUUUUAACUAGGAAAGCUCAAAUUAUUUAGGUAUCCAAUUGCUCCCUGACAGCAAUCUGAGGCCUCUCAGGAACCACAAGUAAAGAAAAUUGAAGUCCACAUUAUCCAAAUGACGAUAACCACCCCCCUGAGGUAAUAGCUCAACAACGGUGACAAAUUUCA